UUUAAGACGUAAUAAAACAGACGAUGAACACUAUUAACAGCAAUUAUUAUAUGAUGCAAUCAAACUUAUAGCAAAAUGUGGUAGUUCUGUAUGUUGUUUCAGGGUUGGCAUCAUCUGAGGUCCUCUGAGGGGUUGGCAUCAACGUGCCAACGUUCUGGCAGGUAACGUGACCUGCCAGAACUAACGCUACGCUUGAUUUCUUUAGGGUGAUCUGAUGCAAGUGGCCUUUCUGAUGGGAGAACCAGAUGCAGCUCGUGAUCAGUGUGCCGUUUUCCAAUCCCAGUGUGGCGGAACCGGACACAAACCACCUCGAUCUCCUCGCAUACACACUGAAGAGGAACUUCUGCUGUCCUCAAAUGACCUGGAGGACUUAUUAGAGACAGCAGAGGACAGUGUCUAUUUUCAUGCAAAACUGACUGGUCUCCAUAGACGUGGGAUUAUACGUGGAGACGGUACUCUGCCUACUGGAUCCAAACGUCCUGACCUUGUGGGGCGAGGUGAUGUGUUUGAGGUGGAUGAGGAUACAGACCUGGUAGACCAAAACAUCUUAUCCAAAAAUGGUGGUAAACCUUCCAAAACAUUCCCAACUGACACAACAAGCAGCCGUGAUGGAAAACCAGAAUCUAAACGUCUAAAUGAAAACAUCACCACUGACAAGCACAAACUUGGCAAACCUUCACCAAAGAAACCAGUGGAUACCAUAAUUAUCAACCUGGAUGUUCAGAUACCCGAGAAACCUACCGGAAGUAUUGUACCUAGUAGCGAAAUUCAACUGGAAACCACCUCCAGUCCUGAGGAUCGAGAAUCCAACUUGUUAAAAGAGGAUUUGGGGGUCACCACACAGGCUCCUGUGAGAAAAACUUCUUGGGAGGGCAUCUCAAAAGGAAGUGGAAGAAAAACAUUCAAAACUUCAGAUAUCCCUGUAGGACCUGGCUGGGGAUCUGAGGAGCACCCAGGAACCGUUAUAUUUACAGAAAGGCAUGGAGAUCUUGUGCGUGGCUCUGAUGGGAAUAUGUAUCGCAUUCAAAGAGGACCCAUGGGG
rnacentral:lncRNA from 1 species